UACGUAGGUGGCAAGCGUUAUCCGGAUUUAUUGGGCGUAAAGGGAACGCAGGCGGUCUUUUAAGUCUGAUGUGAAAGCCUUCGGCUUAACCGGAGUAGUGCAUUGGAAACUGGGAGACUUGAGUGCAGAAGCGGAGAGUGGAACUCCAUGUGUAGCGGUGAAAUGCGUAGAUAUAUGGAAGAACACCAGUGGCGAAAGCGGCUCUCUGGUCUGUAACUGACGCUGAGGUUCGAAAGCGUGGGUAGCAAACAGG
rnacentral:rRNA from 1 species